UUAAAAAUUAUUUUAUUGAUUAUCCUUUAGGACAUAUCACCAUACCGAACCAAACAACAAAGCUUGAUACAACUUCAUUUGAAGCUGUUGUUGCUGAAAUUAGGGUUGGGUGAAGGUACUGGUUUGAGCAUUGGACUCUGGAGACCAAGGUUUGAAUCCCUGCUCAACUAUGGAAGCCCAUUGGUGACUUGGGCAAGUCCCACUUUCUCAUCCUCAGGAUUUCACCUCAGACCUACAUAGAAAUAAACACAUGAACAGGAAUGAAUGGCUGCACCUAAAGCAAGUAAAAUAGAAAAUGUUGCAGUUCUCUGUAGUGAUGACAAAUAUUGGUGUCCGUGCACUCUCCUUGUACAUGCACAGUACUGUACCAUAUGAAGGAGAAUUACUAAUGGGUUACAACAUGUGGCAUAGCAGGAUCCACCACAGGAAGAACAAGAGACCCAUCAACAAUUAAUACGCAGCUUGAAUAAACCAUACUGGGGAACAAAGGAAAUAAAGCCUGAUUGCGCAUUUUGAAAUGGUGUUCAAUUUCCAUGCCAUGAUACAAUUGCAAGUGCUGCAGGGAAAACAAAAUUAAAUUUUAAGGACUUUUCUCCCCAAUCUCUCAUCCCUCCCCCCUCAUUCUUCCUCAGUUUUUGUCUUGAAUUUUUCCCUUCCUCCCUUCUAAAUUGUCCAUUAUUUGUCCCCUACCCACCAUGUCUGUCUUUCAGAACUUGGCGAUCUUGUAGUUUGCAUUCUCUUCCAUAUCUGGAGAUUGCUCUCAAAGAAAAAGACAAGAAAUGUCAUGUGAUGCAUCCAUCCCUAGAUGAGGCCAUAUGCCCCAGCAAUAAAUUGACAGUGGCUAUUACUUGUUGUGCUUAAAUGUUUAAUAUGAUGCAAAAACUGCUCUAUUAUAUCGCCAAUUUUAACAUCAUUUCACUAUCAUUGACAGAAAAAUCUAGUGGAUUAGCAUAAUGAAUUUAUUUUUAAUUUGGUGAUUCCAGGAUCUGACUUUGAGUUUUUCAGUUAAUGAAAAAUAAAGUACAUACAUUUAAUUAAUGAAUUACAUUGUUAUAUGUACAUUUAAUAAUUAGAUUAUUUGAUUAGUUUCAUGGAAUUAGUUUCAGAGCAGAAUGCCUGAAUGCCAAAUAUUUACCUAAUUUUGCUUGAUUCUUUUUUUUACCUCAAAGACAGGGCGACUAUAAUUGGUGGAAUAAAGUUUACUUUUGGAAUUUAAACCACAAAAUGUGCUGUAGCCAAUGAGGAAAGAAGGUAAAUGCGUUGCAGUUUAUAGCAGAAGCACUUUAGUUCCUUAAUAGCCAGGUUCCCUGUCACCAACAUAUUACUGUACUUUAAAGUCAAUUUAAAUUUUAUAAUAAUCAGGUAUAAAUAAGGCAUUUUCAUGUUUUAAUGAGCUGAGCAAAUUUUAAUGAAUUUUUAUGUAAAAUAAAUAUUUAAUUAAUUUGAAUGACUUUAUGUAGUGAAUUUCAUGUAUUUCGAACUAAAGAGAACCUAAACAAGACCAUCAAGAACUUCAGCAUAACUCUUGAUUAUUUGUCCAACCCGAUAAACCUCCAUAGCAGUUGCCCACCCCUACCUUAUUUAUUUACAUAUCUGAAAAUCCUCUUUUGGUGGACCACUCUUUUGUUACCAGCAUAUCAAGAAUAAAGGAGGAUUAAUUUUCUUUUCAACUCAUUACAGUUUAAGAGAUGGUAAUGGAAACGCUAGAGCCUGGGCAAUUGGCUAAACAUCUGAGCUUGGUUACCCUUAAAGAUGACCCACAGAGAAUAUUACAUUACACUAUCUUUCUCUAGUUUCCAAAUAGUGGUAUUGAUAUACUAGUCAGCCUAAAGGUAUCAGUCAUCAAAAUGCUUAUUGACUCUUCAGAAUAGCUCUAUCAAUAUCCAAUUUGCUGUCUGAUCUAAUGCAGAGUCUAUGCAAUGUCAGAGUAUCGAUGCCUAUUUUUCAAAAUCAUGAACAAUACUUUUUUCUCCUUCUGCUUUGUGGAGGGCUUGUAUUUUAUCCAUACUCUUUACAAUAUUUACAAUUGUGAUAUAUUUAUUUUUCUAUUUUACUAGAAGAAAGCUAGUUGCAAAUCACAUUAAAAAGUAAAAGUGAAGUCCUAGUCCAUCAACAUAUGCUUAAAGAUAGUGUACACUGAAAGAAUAUUUACUUUUGAGGUCAGGUCACAUCUUCUGAUUGCAAGAAGGAUGGCUUAAUAAAUACUUUUGGAGUGUAGUGAUUAAACAAGCUGUGUUUUCUUUCCUUUGAUUGAUGUGAUUAAGCAUGUAACUAAAACUGAUUUAGAACUCAAUUGACAGACCGAGGCUUUUAAACUUGAACACACCUAUCUGUAUUUUAUAAUGCGUUUUAUGAAUGUCUUAUGUAAGUUAUUUUUUUAACUGAUGUAUAGUGUAUUGUACAGUUUUUAUAUGUGUGUUUUAUUAUAAGCCACCCUGAGUCCCCUGUUGGGUGAGAAGGGCGGGAUAAAAAUGUUGUAAUAAAUAAAUAAAUAAAUAAGUAAGAGAACGUCCCAUAAUAGAGAUGAACUAAUACCAUGGAGACACCUGAUAGGAAAACAAAUUCUUUUCAUGCAUUGCUAGUUAUGUGUGCUGGAUGGGUGUAAGUGAGCAUACAUUUUAUUUGGUUAUUUAUUUAUUACUUUGCCAUAUGGCAAAACAGCUACUCAGUCUUCAAGAACUUUUACAGUGUGGUUUUAGGGAAUUUAAUCUUAGAGAAACAUACAUAUUAUAGACAGGGAUCUAUAUGGAAAAUGAAUUAAAUUAAUGUUAAAAAAAUAGAAUAUAUUAAGCAGUUAGCUUUUGACUCAAUAACAUCAUGGGAUGGUUUUCGUGGGACUCUUAUGGUGCUUAGUUUUGUAAGCAUAUAGAAAUGAAGUCUGAAGCCCAUAGGACAAAAUCCUUAGAGUUGUAGACAAAAACCUAUGCAACUGAUUGAAUUUUCUCAUGGCAGUGACCCUAUGUUUCAUGCUUCAACUCUUGUUUUCCCAUUCCCAUGUCUGUUUAAAUAUAGGAUACAUACUUGGAUGAUGUCUAAGAAAUCAUUUGGAAUAUAAUCUGAGGAUAAUUGGCCACUAGUACAACUUGGCAUGCAAUAAAGUCUAACUGUAGUUCUGCAGCCAGGAAUGAGUGGUGGCUGCCCAAACUUCUCUGAGUAUGCUGAAAAUUGGGGAGAAAGAUGGCUUUUCCCCCUCCUGGCUGCAGGCAGAUAUUGGCUUG